UGAACAUCACAAAACGUAAGACAACAGAA
rnacentral:sRNA from 1 species